GGACCUCUAGCCCAAUUGGAAGAGGCGCAGGAUUUAGGUUCCUGUCAGUGCGCGUUCGAGUCGCGCGAGGUCUAC
rnacentral:tRNA from 1 species